rnacentral:lncRNA from 1 species
UAGCAGGACAAGUCAUUCUAGUUUUUUAAUACAAAAAUAACAGUAGAUUCUUGUAUAACAAUGUAUAAUAUAAUAUUCAAUUAUUUACAGAGUUAUUGCUGCAAUCAAGUUAAAGGACAAAGCAAUUAACAGAAUAAUAAUGUAUGACACUCGUACAAUGAAAGGAUAACAUAAAGUAGAUCUAAAAGCCAAACUUACAAAUAGUGAAGGGUUGAUAUUCUGCUAAGAUCAGGUACAGCUCGCAAACUGCAAUUUCUAAUACUUAUACAUACUAAUUUAUAAUCGGAUUACAACAAGAUGCAAUUAAUUUAUAAUCGGAUUACGAUUGCCUCACAGGUACUAUAUACAACAUUCUCAUCAGUUUGUAAGUUUCCCAUGUUUUGACCUUCAAUCACCGUUUCAAUUCCAGGACUACACAGAUAAAAAUAAACAAAGUACUCAUCCUCCUACCAGUAAAAGGUAAAAAAACAGCAAAAAUAAUGAAAACUUCACCUUAAAUAUUGAGAUCCAC